GCUCAGAGAAAUCCACCAAGAGACAAGGGACAGGAAUGGAUGCAAGACAUCCUUGCACUCUGACAGAAGCCAGGUGGUCAUUUCUGCAGUCCUUACUCAAGCCAGGCUCUCCUUGGACCAGCGAGACUUUGGUCCCUGUACAGACUACAGAUUUUGGGCUCCGUGGUGGCAGGUUUCUGCAAAAAACUGGUGCUGCAAGGCCAUUGCUCGGGGCUUCACCAGGAGAGAGCGAGCACAGGAGGAAGGGAUGUUUCCGAAUGAGAAAUAGCUGCGUUUUUUUAAAUGAGUGAUUUGUUGGCUUCAGGCAAAUGGCAGAAGGUUUUGCUAAAAAGGCUUCUUUAUGGGAUUGUGGUUUUGCUUGGGGUAGCUGAAAGAAGUCUGUAAACCCCAGGAGCUCAAGGAGUUUGACAGGUUUGACAGGCCUUCCUGCUACUUAUGAACAGGAGGCUGGAGCAAGUGUUCCUGAGAUCACCCCCCUGUUUUCCAUCAAAGCAUGCUGUCAAGUCAGAGGAAGAGAGAAACUGUUUUCUUCCCCCAUUUUAUUUUCUUAUAUAAAGAUAAUCUUAGAAACCUUAAUUCUGGAUCUUUUAAACAUAGUAUUAUCUGGGCUUCCCCUCAAUACAAAAUUCCUGUCAACCUUUUUAGGCUUUGGAUUAGACCCUUCCACAGAGCUUUGAGCACAUUCAAAUCAUUACAGCAAUAAUCAUUAGUGACAAAGGGGAGUCACACCAAAGACUGGUGUACAUCACCUCUGAAAAACAUGCCAGCUCUAAAGAGCCAUACUCUCACCUGCACCACAUUACCGCUGUCAUCCUUUGUGUCCACUUACCCUACCAUGCUUCAUGUGCUGCCCUGUCCAAAAGUGAGAAAAUGAUGAAAAUUAUAAAAAUGAUGAAUGACAAUAAUUAAGGUAAUGAAAAUGAAAACAACUGUAGAGCUAUAUCUGUGUCAUGUGUAAUGAUAGGGCUGCAGCUUCUGGUGCUGACAGGGAGAAAAGCCCUCUUGACUCUCCCUGGGUCAACCUAUGCCUACACACUACCCCGACUCAGUAAAGGGUGGGAGUGCUUCUAAUUAAAUCGCAUACACCCUGAAUGUGCAAAGCAAAGGGCUUGGAUUUCUGCUGUAACAGGAGUAGCUGCUGCUGCAAUACUUAAACCAUCGCUGGUCAGAGAGCUGUUGCAGUGCUUGAGCUGGGGGUCACCAGCCUCCAAAGGGAAAGCCUGGAAAGAAUCAGUAGUUCAUGAAAAAUGUACACAUAAGGAGGAAUUUCCUAUUUCUUUGAUUGCUGGUAAUUUAAUUUAAAAGGAAAUCCAGUGACAACUUCCCAGGAAAUAAAUGCUGUAUUGUAAAUCUCUGUGGUGAAAAGGUGCUUAGCUGAAAAUCAACUGAAUUCUUCUUACUCUAGUUUUUAAUUGUGGCUCAGUUUCUAAACCAGCCCAAAGCUUGGGAAACUGAAAUGAUCUCCGAUAACAUGAACAGAAUGCUUAGGGCAGAACAAACCCAAGAGAUUAAGUUAAACUUGCCAGCUGAAGCAAGCCUGUGAGCUUUAUCAAACAUGCAAGCUGAAGAAAACUCUGGAGCCAGCACGUGAGCCUGCUAAUAUCUUCUGCAAAAUCUUCCAGCCACAAGGAGCUCCUCAGACCUGGGCGUACGUGGCUAUAAAGUCUCAAUAUCUGAAGAGCGGUAGAAAAUCAUUUGGUGACAUCCGUGCAAGAACUCCAACCCCACCAGUGCCAGAGAUGAUGUCACUUUUCAGAAGAACGGUGGCUGCCAGCAGGAGGCUCGGCAAUGCAGAUUUUAAUGUGGAGAUUUAAUUUCAAAUACAGUUCACAGUUUGUAUGCGGUUGAAAAACGUUUAAUACCACCUGGAUGUUCAGGACACUGUUUUGAAUUAAAUAAAUUUCAGUUUGGACAA